rnacentral:rRNA from 1 species
AUUGAACGCUGGCGGCAGGCCUAACACAUGCAAGUCGAGCGGAUGACGGGAGCUUGCUCCUUGAUUCAGCGGCGGACGGGUGAGUAAUGCCUAGGAAUCUGCCUGGUAGUGGGGGAUAACGUUUCGAAAGGAACGCUAAUACCGCAUACGUCCUACGGGAGAAAGCAGGGGACCUUCGGGCCUUGCGCUAUCAGAGGAGCCUAGGUCGGAUUAGCUAGUAGGGUAGGUAAUGGCUCACCUAGGCGACGAUCCGUAACUGGUCUGAGAGGAUGAUCAGUCACACUGGAACUGAGACACGGUCCAGACUCCUACGGGAGGCAGCAGUGGGGAAUAUUGGACAAUGGGCGAAAGCCUGAUCCAGCCAUGCCGCGUGUGUGAAGAAGGUCUUCGGAUUGUAAAGCACUUUAAGUUGGGAGGAAGGGCGGUAAGUUAAUACCUUGCUGUUUUGACGUUACCGACAGAAUAAGCACCGGCUAACUCUGUGCCAGCCGCCGCCGUAACAC